rnacentral:rRNA from 1 species
UGGGGAAUUUUGGACAAUGGACGCAAGUCUGAUCCAGCCAUGCCGCGUGCGGGAAGAAGGCCUUCGGGUUGUAAACCGCUUUUGUCAGGGAAGAAACGAGUUUCUCUAAUACAGAGACUUAAUGACGGUACCUGAAGAAUAAGCACCGGCUAACUACGUGCCAGCAGCCGCGGUAAUACGUAGGGUGCGAGCGUUAAUCGGAAUUACUGGGCGUAAAGCGUGCGCAGGCGGUUAUGUAAGACAGAUGUGAAAUCCCCUGGCUCAACCUGGGACCUGCAUUUGUGACUGUAUAGCUAGAGUACGGUAGAGGGGGAUGGAAUUCCGCGUGUAGCAGUGAAAUGCGUAGAUAUGCGGAGGAACACCGAUGGCGAAGGCAAUCCCCUGGACCUGUACUGACGCUCAUGCACGGAAGCGUGGGGAGCAAACA